GUCCACGCCGUAAACGAUGGGUACUAGGUGUUGGGGGGUAUUGACCCCCCCAGUGCCGCAGUUAACGCAUUAAGUACCCGCCCUGGGAAGGUACGGCCGCAAGGCUAAAACUACAAAGGAAUUGACGGGGGGCCCGGCACAAGCGGUGGAGCAUGUGGUUCAAUUCGACGCAACGCGAAGAACCUUACCUGGGCUUGACAUCUCAGGAACCUCCUGGAAACAGGAGGGUGCCCGCAAGGGAGCCUGAAGACAGGUGCUGCAUGGCUGUCGU
rnacentral:rRNA from 1 species